rnacentral:lncRNA from 1 species
GCGAACAGCUCCGUGCUGAGCUCGCUCUAAUGAAACACCAACAGGACUCCCAGUGUAAGGAGGUGGUGGAGAUGCUGGAGCAGGAGGGUCUAGCAGAGAUCAGCCAGAGCAGUGCCAGUGAGCAGGUGGCCUAUCUGCUGGUGGAGAGAGUCACUCUGAUGGAGAGACUGGAGGCUGUGGAAAGAAAACUUGACACCCAGACCCUCACCGGCAACCUCAGAGAGGUGCAUCUUCAGGAAGAGCUGGAUCAUAUGCGUCACACAUUGGAAGAGGAACUCAGGCAGCAAAAGGAAAACAUGAAUAAGGACCACAGUGAAGAGUUCAAUAGAGAAUGCACAGUGUGCCAGAGGCUGGAGAGGGAUCUGGAAGAGGCAUCGAGUCGUCUUGCUAUGGCACAUAAAGAGAUUCGCCACCUGACGGAUGAACUAGAUCUCGCUCGUAAGGUCCAAAACGUGUGUGUACCUGACCUGCAGAAAACUGGGGAGGAAGUUGAGCAGUUGAAACAGGAAGUGGACAAGCUUAAACAGUGUGAUAUGGUGGAGCUGCAGAAGGCCAAGGAACGCAAUGAAAGAUUGGAUAGUGACAUUUGUGUUCUAAGGGAUAGAGUUCGCUCCUUGGACACAGAGAGGAGGACUCUUCUUAAACUGGUUGAACAAUCAAAGCUGCACUCAGAUCAAGGGAUCAAAGUGACAUUAGAGCACAAUAAAAUUAAUUCUACACAGGGUGUCGGGAAUAACGUCAAUCCUGAUCCAUCACUGAAUGCAGAGGAUGAGAUACUCCACAAAAGGUGUCGGAGAGAGUCUGAAGAUAAGGACAGCCGUCUGCGAGAGCUGGAGAGGAGGUUGCAGAAGCAGCAGCGGGAACACGAGGAGCUGGUGGAGCGCAAUGAAGAGCUGGAGGCGCUGCUGGGAGAGGCGCAGAACACAGUGAAAGAGGAGCGGGAACGUCAUGAGUGUGUGAUAGAGGGGUUACAGAGAAAGGUGUGUUUUUAGCCAUCGACGUGGGG